rnacentral:rRNA from 1 species
AUUGAACGCUGGCGGCAUGCUUUACACAUGCAAGUCGAACGAGUGGCGCACGGGUGAGUAAUACAUCGGAACGUGUCCUAUCGGGGGGGAUAACGGAUCGAAAGGUCAGCUAAUACCGCAUACGAUUGGAGCGGCCGAUGCCCGAUUAGCUAGUUGGUGAGGUAAAGGCCUACCAAGGCGACGAUCCGUAGCUGGUCUGAGAGGACGAUCAGCCACACUGGGACUGAGACACGGCCCAGACUCCUACGGGAGGCAGCAGUGGGGAAUUUUGGACAAUGGGGGCAAGCCUGAUCCAGCCAUGCCGCGUGUGGGAUGAAGGUCUUCGGAUUGUAAAGUGCUUUUGUCAGGGAAGCGGUACCGGAAGAGAAAGCCACGGCUAACUACGUGCCAGCAGCCGCGGUAAUUC